rnacentral:lncRNA from 1 species
CGCAUUCGAACCGAGCCGAGCCGCGCCCAGCCCAUUAGAGCCGUGCCCCGCACAUCAUUAGAGCCGUGCCCUGCACAUUAGAGCCGUGCCGUGCCACGCUGCCCACGUUUGAGCCGUGCUGUGGUGCACGGUGCGCGCAGCAGAGCGUGGGGCGGGGUGUCUCGUGUUUUGCGUGUGCGUCGCAGUCGCGGGGCGCCGUGUUCUGCGCAUGUGCGUUGGGCGCCGCCAGCCCCGCGGACGGCGGAGUGCAUACACCUUCCUUGAAAAUGCCAUAUCAAGGUCAAUUACUGGAAUUUCAAGACUCCUCCACUGCCUUCAUGUAAAUGUAACAAGAAUGACGUUUAUCACCUGCUUGCAACAAAAAGAAAGAAAGAAUGUGCUGUAAUACUAAAUGCUGUGGAUAAAGAGAAAGAGUGUCCUACUGCUUUGGAAGAGAGAAUUAGAUUUGAUUUUUUGUGGACCAUCAUACAAAUGCAUGGCUUUCCUAUCAAAUGACUGCAUCUCUUCUUCCAAUGGUAUCAAAGCACUAGAUAUAAUUCAAAGGAAAAGGCAGCUUUCUG